CGGAAUAUAGUGUAAUAGGUCAGCACAUCAGACUUUGACGCAAAUAGUUUGCGUUCGAGUCACAAUGUUCAAGCCA
rnacentral:tRNA from 1 species